UAAGAACAUAUUUCCAGCCUGCUGCCCUACAACACUCUCAAACCAAAUGGAAAAAAUGGCACUGCAGCACAUCCACCAACUUUGGAGUGUCCUCAUCCAUACAUAAUGUUUCUGUUUUUACGAAGCAAAGCAGAGAUGUGGAGCUUUCAAAACCUGCUGUUCACCAUCUGUGUUGCUCUGAGGUGUGUGAUCAGUGCAGUGGGAAUGAUCCAUGUGACUGGAUAUGUGGGGAGAGAGGUUAAUGUCUCCUGCUCUUAUGAUCAGAGUUAUGCAUCUCAUGAGAAGUACCUAUGUAAGAACGACUGUGGCAACAGUGAUGUUCUCAUUACAACAUCACAAGCAAGCAAAACCAAAUACUCAAUUUAUGAUGACAUCAGUGCACGAAUCUUCACAACAACUAUCUUUGAUCUUCAAUAUACGGAUGCU